UACGUAGGGUGCAAGCGUUGUCCGGAAUUACUGGGCGUAAAGGGCGCGUAGGCGGCUAGGCAAGUCAGGUGUGAAAGCCCCGAGCUUAACUCGGGAAUUGCAUCUGAAACUGCUGUGCUUGAGUUCUGGAGGGGGUAGUGGAAUUCCCAGUGUAGCGGUGAAAUGCGUAGAUAUUGGGAGGAACACCUGCGGCGAAGGCGGCUACCUGGACAGAAACUGACGCUGAGGCGCGAAAGCUAGGGGAGCGAACGGG
rnacentral:rRNA from 1 species